rnacentral:rRNA from 1 species
ACGGAAGGCAGCAGUGGGGAAUAUUGGACAAUGGGGGGAACCCUGAUCCAGCGACGCCGCGUGAGUGAAGAAGUAUUUCGGUAUGUAAAGCUCUUUAAGCAGGAAAGAAAAUGACGGUACCUGCAGAAUAAGCCCCGGCUAACUACGUGCCAGCAGCCGCGGUAAUACGUAGGGGGCAAGCGUUAUUCGGAUUUACUGGGUGUAAAGGGAGCGUAGACGGCAAUGCAGGUCUGAAGUGAAAGCCCGCGGCUUAACUACGGGACUGCUUUGGAAACUGCAUGGCUAGAGUGUCGGAGAGGUGAGUGGAAUUCCCAGUGUAGCGGUGAAAUGCGUAGAUAUUGGGAGGAACACCGGAGGCGAAGGCGGCUCACUGGACGAUUACUGACGUUGAGGCUCGAAAGCGUGGGGAGCAAACAGGAUUAGAUACCCUGGUA